rnacentral:rRNA from 1 species
CCCCUAGAUGUUCUGGGCCGCACGCGCGCUACACUGAACAGUUCAACAAGUCUUAACCUUGGCCGAUAGGUCUGGGUAAUCUUUGAACGCUGUUCGUGAUUGGGAUAGACCUUUGCAAUUAUGGGUCUUCAACGAGGAAUUCCUAGUAAACGCAAGUCAUCAGCUUGCAUUGAUUACGUCCCUGCCCUUUGUACACGCCACCCGUCGCACCUACCGAUUGAAUGGUCCGGUGAAAUCUCGGGACGGCGGCUUGGUCGCUUGCGUCCGACUGCUGAAACUUGAUUAAACCAUAUCAUUUAGAGGAAGGUGAANUCGUANCA